CCGGCCAAGCGAAAUAAGGGCGCACGGUGGAUGCCUUGGCACGGACAGGCGAUGAAGGACGCGGCAAGCCGCGAUAGUCCCGGGGGAGCCGCACGCAGGCUGUGAUCCCGGGGUUUCCGAAUGGGGCAACCCGGCAGCGGUCAUGCGCUGUCACUCCGCAAGGAGAGCCAACGGGGAGAACUGAAACAUCUAAGUAUCCCCAGGAAUAGAAAUCAACCGAGAUUCCCUGAGUAGCGGCGAGCGAAAGGGGACCAGCCCAAACCGGAGUCCUAGUGGCUCCGGGGUUGUAGGGCCCAGACGGGGUUCGUCCCGUCUGCAUGGAGCAUGUAGCCGAAGCGGCCUGGGAAGGCCCGCGAGACAGGGUGAGAGCCCCGUAGGCGAAACAUGCCCCCAGCGGAUGGUCUGGGUACCUGAGUACAGCGGGACACGAGAAAUCCCGCUGGAAUCCGGGGGGACCACCCUCCAAGGCUGAAUACUCGUCCGUGACCGAUAGUGCACCAGUACCGUGAGGGAAAGGUGAAAAGAACGCCUGACGGCGAGUGAAAUAGAUCCUGAAACCGUGUGCCUACAAGCGGUAGGAGGGAGCUUCAGGCUCCUGACUGCGUGCCUUUUGCAUUAUGAUCCGGCGAGUUGCUGGUCACGCGCGAGGUUAAGAGCUUAUGGCUCGGAGCCGCAGCGAAAGCGAGUCUGAACAGGGCGUCGAUAAGUGCGUGGCCGCAGACCCGAAACCGAAGCGAUCUACCCAUGGCCAGGAUGAAGCUCCGGUAACACGGAGUGGAGGUCCGAACCCGUUUCUGUUGAAAAAGAUUGGGAUGAGCUGUGGGUAGGGGUGAAAGGCCAAUCAAGCUCGGAGAUAGCUGGUUCUCCCCGAAAACUAUUGAGGUAGUGCCUCGGGGCAUGUGAGCGGGAGGUAGAGCACUGGAAGGACGCGGGGCCCCACCGGGUUACCAACUCCUACCAAACUCCGAAUGCCCGGCUCAUGGACCCCGGGAGACAGCAUACGCGCGAUAAUGUGCGUAUACGAGAGGGAAAGAACCCAGACCGUCGGCUAAGGUCCCGAAGUACAGUCUCAGUGAGAAAGGAUGUGGGCGUGCCGUGACAACCGGGAGGUUGGCUUAGAAGCAGCCAUGCCUUGAAAGAGUGCGUAAUAGCUCACCGGUCAAGUGCGCCUGCGCCGAUAAUGGUCGGGACUCAAGACUGUCACCGAAGCCACGGAUUCGAUUCUCCCUACGGGGGGAACGGAUGGUAGGGGAGCGUUCUGGUAGCGGAGAAGCGGGGGUGGAAACCUUCCCGUGGAGCGGCCAGAAGUGAGGAUGCCGGAAUGAGU
rnacentral:rRNA from 1 species